UACGUAGGGGGCGAGCGUUGUCCGGAUUCAUUGGGCGUAAAGCGCGCGUAGGCGGCCCCGCAAGUCGGCCGUGAAAUCUCCCAGCUCAACUGGGAGGGGUCGGGCGAGACUGCGGGGCUCGAGGUGGGUAGAGGGCAGUGGAAUUCCGGGUGUAGUGGUGGAAUGCGUAGAGAUCCGGAGGAACACCAGUGGCGAAGGCGGCUGCCUGGGCCUGGCCUGACGCUGAGGAGCGAAAGCGUGGGGAGCGAACAGG
rnacentral:rRNA from 1 species